rnacentral:rRNA from 1 species
CACGUAGGGCGCGAGCGUUUGUCCGGAAUUAUUGGGCGUAAAGAGCUCGUAGGCGGCCUGUUGCGUCCGCUGUGAAAGCCCGGGGCUUAACCCCCGGGGUCUGCAGUGGAUACGGGGCAGGCUAGAGGUAGGUAGGGGGAGAAUGGAAUUCCCGGUGUAGCGGUGAAAUGCGCAGAUAUCGGGAGGAACACCGGUGGCGAAGGCGGUUCUCUGGGCCUUACCUGACGCUGAGGAGCGAAGGCGUGGGGAGCGAACAGG